rnacentral:rRNA from 1 species
GAGUUUGAUCCUGGCUCAGGAUGAACGCUGGCGGCGUGCUUAACACAUGCAAGUCGAACGGGGCCACCAUUUUUGAAGCGAUUAGCUUGCUAAGAGUGGAAAUGUUGGCGGCUUAGUGGCGGACGGGUGAGUAACGCGUGGGUAACCUGCCAUAUACAGGGGGAUAACACUUAGAAAUAGGUGCUAAUACCGCAUAAGCGCACGGAGCUGCAUGGCUCAGUGUGAAAAACUCCGGUGGUAUAUGAUGGACCCGCGUCUGAUUAGCUUGUUGGCGGGGUAACGGCCCACCAAGGCGACGAUCAGUAGCCGGCCUGAGAGGGUGGACGGCCACAUUGGGACUGAGACACGGCCCAAACUCCUACGGGAGGCAGCAGUGGGGAGUAUUGGACAAUGGGGGGAACCCUGAUCCAGCGACGCCGCGUGAGUGAAGAAGUAUCUCGGUAUGUAAAGCUCUAUCAGCAGGGAAGAAAGAAAUGACGGUACCUGACCAAGAAGCCCCGGCUAACUACGUGCCAGCAGCCGCGGUAAUACGUAGGGGGCAAGCGUUAUCCGGAUUUACUGGGUGUAAAGGGAGCGUAGACGGUAAUGCAAGUCUGGAGUGAAAUGCAGGGGCUCAACCCCUGAACUGCUUUGGAAACUGUAUGACUGGAGUGCAGGAGAGGUAAGUGGAAUUCCUAGUGUAGCGGUGAAAUGCGUAGAUAUUAGGAGGAACACCAGUGGCGAAGGCGGCUUACUGGACUGUAACUGA